GAAGGGUGCAAGCGUUAAUCGGAAUUACUGGGCGUAAAGCGCGCGUAGGUGGUUCGGCAAGUUGGAUGUGAAAGCCCCGGGCUCAACCUGGGAACCGCAUCCAAGACUACUGGGCUAGAGUACGGUAGAGGGUGGUGGAAUUUCCUGUGUAGCGGUGAAAUGCGUAGAUAUAGGAAGGAACACCAGUGGCGAAGGCGACCACCUGGACCGAUACUGACACUGAGGUGCGAAAGCGUGGGGAGCAAACAGGAUUAGAUACGCUGGUAGUCCACGCCGUAAACGAUGUCGACUAGCCGUUGGGCUCCUUGAGAGCUUAGUGGCGCANCUAACGCAUUAAGUCGACCGCCUGGGGAGU
rnacentral:rRNA from 1 species